GACGAACGCUGGCGGCGUGCUUAACACAUGCAAGUCGAACGGUAAGGCCCUUCGGGUACACGAGUGGCGAACGGGUGAGUAACGCGUGGGUGAUCUGCCCUGCACUUCGGGAUAAGCCUGGGAAACUGGGUCUAAUACCGGAUAGGACUCCUGGCUUCAUGGUUGGGGGUGGAAAGCUUUUGCGGUGUGGGAUGGGCCCGCGGCCUAUCAGCUUGUUGGUGGGGUAAUGGCCUACCAAGGCGACGACGGGUAGCCGGCCUGAGAGGGUGACCGGUCACACUGGGACUGAGAUACGGCCCAGACUCCUACGGGAGGCAGCAGUGGGGAAUAUUGCACAAUGGGCGCAAGCCUGAUGCAGCGACGCCGCGUGAGGGAUGACGGCCUUCGGGUUGUAAACCUCUUUCAGCACCGACGAAGCGCAAGUGACGGUAGGUGCAGAAGAAGGACCGGCCAACUACGUGCCAGCCGCCGCCGUAA
rnacentral:rRNA from 1 species